rnacentral:lncRNA from 1 species
ACAAUAGGUAACACAUAAUGUUUAAAUAAUCUUGUUAACUCGAAAAUAAUUAAUUUGACAAGUUUUCGAUAUCUCAGAUUUUCUUAUCCGAAUUUAGUACUAAAAAUAGUUUAUCAAGGCGAUUAUUUUUCGAAAAACCCGACCAAUUUAGUCAACAACAUAUUUGAAAUUUAAACCUUGAUAACUUUAUACAAUAGAUAUCAGUUUUAGUUCUAUGCCGUCUGUUCGUUUAAUCGUUUAUCGUUUGAGUGUGACAGUCUUAAUCACGAAUUAUAAUUUAAUAUUUUUUUUAAUAUUUUAAUUCGUGGUGUUAAUACAGCGGUUAUUAUGGCUCAACAAAGAAAAUUAAUUAUAUUAUCACUUGCAGAAAAAGUGAACUCACUUAAAAUUAUUGAAAAAGGCGAAAAAAAAACAAGACAUAGCCAAAGAUUUUGGAAUUCCGGCGAAUACAUUAUCUACAAUAAUAAAAUAUAUAGAAGGCAAUGAAGAUUUAUUACCAGCCCAAUGUGUGUCACAAUAUUUAACUAGCUGGCGUUGCACUUGCUACAUAACAAUAACUUGAAUACAAUUAUGGCGUAAUUAAUUGGACUUGUACUAAGAAUUUAAAUACAGAUAAAUUUGAAUAGUCA